rnacentral:lncRNA from 1 species
CUUAAAAUCGCUGUUAUUUUAGAUUCUACCAGGGGCUGUCUUAAGUAAUUAGGAUUACCUGUUAGCAUAUUUGAAUUCUGCUGUUGUUUUUUCGAUCUUCAAGUUUCUGUCGAGUGCAAUUCGAAUUCUGCUAAAGCCCGGUCCUCGUAAUUUGAAUUACGCAGGUAAAAUGUCUAUAAAAAUAGAUUUUUAUCUCGUUAUUCGCUUGUACCAAAAGAGGAUAUUCUUAGGAAACUUAAAGGCUAAGGUUGGUGUCUUUCGGGAGAGGGAAAACAGAGAACAUCAGGGCUCUUGUGUUGAAUGUUUCUUGUGAGGUUCUUUGGGUGCGAGACAAAAUCAACAGGGGAACUUAAAAGGGGCUUUUCGGUUGAGGGCUUUGUGGUGAGAUUUUGUGGAACACCCUAUAUUAUAGUCUAGAACAUAAUUAAUACAAAGUGUCUUAUAAUAGUACUAGAUAGUCAUAAGAAAUCUGUCCAAAGGUACAUAAACAGUCUUAUACACUUAACUUAUAGUCACAUACAAGGUACAAGAAUGUAGAUACAAGCAAAAUGGUCUUAGCUUAUGUUGUGUAUGUCAGAAUCACGUCGACCCACCGUGAUUUUUCAAAAACUACACUUUGUAGCUUCUACAAAAUCACGGUGAUUCAGACAUACCUCUUGUGAUACCAAACACACUCUUAGUUACCAACACUGCAAAUAAAACAUAUAUAAAUUCCCAAAAGUUAAAACAUCUUCAAAUUUUCUUGUCCUUACUAUUGCCUUCCCAUUCAUCCGUAAAACAAAAUUAUAAAAGGUGAUUCGUAAUACAAUCUCUGGACAUAACUCAAGUUUACAUAUACAUAUAUAAAUUUAUGUCUUUUUCGUGCAUGCUGAAAUUAUGUUGCAUAUGAACCAAGAACAUCCAACUCCUUAUCUCUCAACUCAAACCAGUUUAAAUGUUAGUAUUAGUACCACCACAAUGCAUCAUGAAUUAGGGAUUCAAUUUCACUAGUUUGAUAUCAUUCUACUCAAUCUAUCCUAUACGCAUAACCUAAUUCCUAAUAACGAACCAUAGCUUACUAAAGAACUCACCAUAAAUUUGAAGAGGGCGCUGAUUGCAUGCAACUUCUUCUCUUCACUUCCUUGCACUCUAUCUUAUGUUAUGCUCGUAGAGAGAGUAGGAGAGUUGAAGAAAAUGCGUUAUUUGACCUUUGGGUUCACAAUUACCCUUAAAUAGAG